rnacentral:rRNA from 1 species
GACGAAGGGGGCUAGCGUUGUUCGGAAUUACUGGGCGUAAAGCGCGUGUAGGCGGUUGUCCAAGUUGGAUGUGAAAGCCUUGAGCUCAACUCAAGAAAUGCAUUCAGGAUUGGAUGACUAGAGGACCGGAGAGGAUAGUGGAAUUCCCAGUGUAGUGGUGAAAUACGUAGAGAUUGGGAAGAACACCAGUGGCGAAGGCGGCUAUCUGGACGGUUUCUGACGCUAAGACGCGAAAGCGUGGGGAGCAAACAGG